AGACUUCUAGAAGAUCAGGCCUAACACAUGCAAGUCGAGGGGUAACAUAGUUUGCUUGCAAACUGAUGACGACCGGCGCACGGGUGCGGAACGCGUAUGGAACCUGCCCCUGUCAGGGGAAUAGCCCAGGGAAACUUGGAUUAAUGCCCCAUGGUAUCGUUUUAUCGCAUGAUAAGGUGAUUAAAGAUUUAUCGGACAGGGAUGGCCAUGCGUACCAUUAGUUAGAUGGUGGGGUAACGGCCCACCAUGGCAGCGAUGGUUAGGGGCCCUGAGAGGGGGAUCCCCCACACUGGUACUGAGACACGGACCAGACUCCUACGGGAGGCAGCAGUGAGGAAUAUUGGACAAUGGGCGGGAGCCUGAUCCAGCCAUGCCGCGUGCAGGAUGACGGCCCUAUGGGUUGUAAACUGCUUUUAUACGGGAAGAAACGCACCUACGUGUAGGUGUCUGACGGUACCGUAAGAAUAAGGACCGGCUAACUCCGUGCCAGCAGCCGCGGUAAUACGGAGGGUCCGAGCGUUAUCCGGAAUCAUUGGGUUUAAAGGGUCCGUAGGCGGGCAUGUAAGUCAGGGGUGAAAGUUUGUGGCUCAACCAUAAAAUUGCCUUUGAUACUGCAUGUCUUGAGUCAUGGUGGGGUUGCCGGAACAUGUGGUGUAGCGGUGAAAUGCAUAGAUAUCACAUAGAACACCGAUCGCGAAGGCAGGUGACCAACCAUGUACUGACGCUGAUGGACGAAAGCGUGGGUAGCGAACGGGAUUAGAUACCCCGGUAGUCCACGCCGUAAACGAUGGAUACUAGCUGUGGGGACUUCGGUCUCCGUGGCCAAGCGAAAGUGAUAAGUAUCCCACCUGGGGAGUACGUUCGCAAGAAUGAAACUCAAAGGAAUUGACGGGGGCCCGCACAAGCGGUGGAGCAUGUGGUUUAAUUCGAUGAUACGCGAGGAACCUUACCAGGGCUUAAAAUGCAGGCUGCAUAAGCUAGAGAUAGCUUUUUCUUCCGACUGCCUGCAAGGUGCUGCAUGGGUUGUCGUCAGCUCGGUGCCGUGAGGUGUCAGGUUAAGUCCUAUAACCAAGCGCAACCCCCUACCGGUUAGUUGCCAGCAAGUCAAAGAUGGGGGACUCUUAACGGGGACUGCCCGGUGCAAACCGUGGAGGAAAAGUGGGGGACGAACGCCAAAUCCUUCACGGGCCCUAACGUUCCUGGGGCUAACCACCUUGGCUACAAUGGGCCCGGGUACAAAAGGGGAAGCCCACCCCCCGCGAA
rnacentral:rRNA from 1 species